ACUCCUACGGGAGGCAGCAGUGGGGAAUAUUGCACAAUGGGCGCAAGCCUGAUGCAGCCAUGCCGCGUGUGUGAAGAAGGCCUUCGGGUUGUAAAGCACUUUCAGUCGUGAGGAAGGUGUAGUGUUAAUUAAGCACUAUCAUUUUGACGUUAGCGACAGAAGAAGCACCGGCUAACUCCGUGCCAGCAGCCGCGGUAAUACGGAGGGUGCGAGCGUUAAUCGGAAUUACUGGGCGUAAAGCGCAUGCAGGUGGUUUGUUAAGUCAGAUGUGAAAGCCC
rnacentral:rRNA from 1 species